AAGAAGGUGGUGCUGGAGGAGGGAAAGAUUGAGGGGCUUAGGGGGAGGAGCCGAAGCGGACGCCGCUGGGAGCGUGCGUCGUGACGUCAUCACAAGAACUCUUAUAUACAGGAGCCCAGGCUCCAUAUUGUCUUUUCGAGGUAGGAGCCGAGUGUUGUGAGGUAUGGUGCUGGGUGCAGAUGCGAUGUGGCUCUCGAUAGCACCUUAUGGACAGGUAAGAAUCGGGGAAAGUACGGUGGGAAGAAUGAAAUCUAACAGGUGGUCUUAGCCUGUGAUGCUUUAAGAGUAGUGGACAGAAGGGAUUUCUGAAAUUCUAUUCUGAGGCUUUAAUAUUAACAGCAUUGAUAUUUAGCGUGACUGCAGUGAGGUUCAUUCUCACUGUUCUGCUUGCAUCUUUUUGUUUUCUAGUUGUGUCCCAAAGGAGGGAUGACAAUAGCUACUGAAGUAAGUUGAAAAUUCCCUCAAAAAGAUUUAAAGUCACUGGAUGUGCCACAAUGAUGACAGUUUAUUUGCUACUCUUGACUGCUAGAAUGAUGAGGAGCUUAACCACCAUUAUCUUAACUGAGGCACCCAAAAUGGUGAUUUGGGGAACAGAGAGAGUACACCUAAGUUUACAUGAAGUUGUUUAUUCCCAGGUCCUAAAGAGCAAGCCUAACUCAAGCCAUUGGCAUACAGGCAUUAGACAGAAAACUAGAAGUUGA
rnacentral:lncRNA from 1 species